UGGGGAAUUUUGGACAAUGGGCGAAAGCCUGAUCCAGCAAUGCCGCGUGUGUGAAGAAGGCCUUCGGGUUGUAAAGCACUUUUGUCCGGAAAGAAAUCCUUGGCUCUAAUACAGUCGGGGGAUGACGGUACCGGAAGAAUAAGCACCGGCUAACUACGUGCCAGCAGCCGCGGUAAUACGUAGGGUGCAAGCGUUAAUCGGAAUUACUGGGCGUAAAGCGUGCGCAGGCGGUUUGCUAAGACCGAUGUGAAAUCCCCGGGCUCAACCUGGGAACUGCAUUGGUGACUGGCAGGCUAGAGUAUGGCAGAGGGGGUAGAAUUCCACGUGUAGCAGUGAAACGCGUAGAGAUGUGGAGGAAUACCGAUGGCGAAGGCAGCCCCCGUGGGCCAAUACUGACGCUCAUGCACGAAAGCGUGGGGAGCAAACAGGAUUAGAUACCCUGGUAGUCCACGCCCUAAACGAUGUCAACUAGUUGUUGGGGAUUCAUUUCCUUAGUAACGUAGCUAACGCGUGAAGUUGACCGCCUGGGGAGUACGGUCGCAAGAUUAAAACUCAAAGGAAUUG
rnacentral:rRNA from 1 species